CACGUAGGGCGCAAGCGUUGUCCGGAAUUUAUUUGGGCGUAAAGCGCACGUAGGCGGCUUUGGCAAGUCGGAUGUGAAAUCCCCGGGCUCAACCUGGGAAUGGCAGUGGAUACUGGGAAGCUAGAGUGUGAUAGAGGAUGGUGGAAUUUCCCGGUGUAGCGGUGAAAUGCGUAGAGAUCGGGAGGAACAUCAGUGGCGAAGGCGGCGUUCUGGACUGCAACUGACACUGAGGAACGAAAGCCAGGGUAGCAAACGGG
rnacentral:rRNA from 1 species